CCUGCUGAUAGAAGCAUUGCAAGUAUGGCUGCUCUGUCACAUACGCUUCAAGAGGUGGCAGAGAGGACAGAGGCUAUGUCUACUCUCAGUGUUCUGACAUAUGAACAUCUGGAUGAUUUGUAGCCUAACAUU